rnacentral:rRNA from 1 species
UACGAAGGGGGCGAGCGUUGUUCGGAAUUACUGGGCGUAAAGCGCGCGUAGGCGGCUUGCCAAGUCGGAAGUGAAAGCCCAAGGCUCAACCUUGGAAUUGCUUUCGAAACUGGCGAGCUAGAGAAUGGUAGGGGAUAGUGGAAUUCCUGGUGUAGAGGUGAAAUUCGUAGAUAUCAGGAGGAACACCGGUGGCGAAAGCGACUAUCUGGACCAUUUCUGACGCUGAGGCGCGAAAGCGUGGGGAGCAAAC